AUCACUACCUUGUGUAGGUGUUGUUAUCCGGUGGAUCUUCUUUCUCCUUCUCCCGUCGUUUCUUUCUCGAAUUUCUUUCUCUAUCUAUGACAAUCUUUUUCAUGGAUCUUCUUCUUCUUUCUCUGUGUAUUGAAAGGCUUAAAGAGAGAGCAAAAAAAUAGAUGAAGAAUCAGAAGUGAGAAGAAUGAGAAGAAAGAGGGAUGUUUCACGGACUAAAGAAA
rnacentral:lncRNA from 1 species